rnacentral:lncRNA from 1 species
GAUCAGUGAGUUGUGUUGGUUUUCUUGCUUCACUUUCUUUGAUUGUUCAAAUCCGUGAGUGUCUGUGACUUUGUGAGUUGAAUCUAUGAGUAAAUGCAUUAAUUUACUAUAAUUUAAUACCUUCUCAAUUUUAAUCAUUUUUCUCUCGCAAAUCAAAAUGGUUUAUUGUAAUGUUGGUUUGGGAUGCUAAUAAAAUGUAGCCAAAAUAUAUGUAAAUUCUGAUUCAACUUGUUAUCUUUUUUUAUUCGAACCGAAAUUUGAAUAUCCAUAAUUUUACGAAGCAAAACAAAUACUAAUAUGCAAUAUCUGUAAUAAACAAAAUAAUUAACAAAUACUAAAAUUUUUAGGAACAUAU